GCCAAAUCCCUGGAUAAGACUGGCAAAUUGUCUUCACUCACAUGCCCCCUAUUAAAAGAACCAAAUAUCUCUUAACCUUGGUAGAUACCUUCUCAGGCUAGAAGCACUCCCCAUGUCUGAAAAGUCCUCCAAGGCCUCCUCUACUCUGAACAUCCAGUGAACUUACACACCCUCUACCGGCCAGCCCCAGUCUUCAGGCAAGCCCAUUCUAGCAUUCCCGCCCGCUUUCUCUGCAGUAGAAUCUCAACCAUUCAUCAGUUACCUCUUAUUGGACCUUCACUUUUGAGUCUUCACCAACCAGUCUCUCGGGGAAAUCAUGCUGCUGCAACCCCUCACGCCAACCAGGAGGCAUCUUUACAGGGUUCCAGCCAACUGCAAUCAAAACCCAUCUCCCUUUGAUCUUGAAUUUCCCCUCAGCAGGAAGCCAUAGAACAAAAAGGCUGGGAUGUUAGGUCUGAUCAAAUAAUUGAAUCCAUUGCCCCUCCCCUGGAAACUUACCUUAGACCACUUCACAACCACCAUUCCCUUUCACUUCAACCACAUUCCAAUGGCUCAGACCAUUAGCUUUCCCCUCCGGACUUUCCCAGGAUCUGUAUCCACCCAGAGUUCCCCACUGAAAAAGCCCUCCUAGAACCCUAUGAAACCUCUGACUCCCCAUCCCUGGGUGAUGAUGCCAUUUGGGGGCUUAGCCCACCUGGUCUCCAGAUGACCUAACACAUUUAUAAUCCUUUAUCACUUUUGGCCUCAUGCAGUGCUCCUUUAGACCCUAACGGUGUUGACCCUGGAUCACUUGGGGUUUACUUCCUGUUAACGGACGCAGUGGAACUAUCCCAAUUUAUCAGGGAAUACUAAUAAUAUCAAAUCUCUCUAAAUUUGACUUUCAUGACUGGUCUCCAACUUAAAUUCAACUAUUUUGCAUUUUAUUCACCAGUAGAUUUUACACCCAUUUCUUGUUUGUUUGUUUUUUCUUUCUGUUGGUUGAUUUUUCAUUAAUCAUUUUAGUUGCUUUAAGUUUCGCAUGUAUGAGUAAUGUCUUUUAAAUUUCCUGUUCUGUGAUGAUAUAUGACUCCAGGAAAUGCUACUGAUAUUUACCUGUCAUGGCACUGUUUGUCACCCAACCUGUGUAUCACUGCGUGUAGCCAAGAGAUACUGUGUUUAAUCCACAUACCAGGAAAUAGUGGCCAUUUCACUGGGGACCCCAUAAAAGAGUAAGAUAGAGUUCCUUUUAUUUUUUAUUGGUUUAUUUUCAGUUUUUUUCUUUUUUAAAAAUUGUUGACAGUAUUACAGAUGUCUCCCACUCCCCCCCUUUUGCCCCCCUCUACCCAGCUCCUGCCC